CUUUUUUUUACUAUAACAAUAAAUAAUUCUAUGUUACCUAAAUUUUCUUAGGUAGUAUAAUGGAUCAAAUUGAUAUGGAGUAAACAAAAGAAAAACUUAAAUAAUCUGGUCUAUAAUUUGAAGCGCUUCAAGCCUUCAACAUCAAUCCGAGUACGAACAAUAAUAUGAGAUUUCAUCAAAAUAUUAUCCUGGAAACGAUUUUUCAUUUAUAUGCGAUUAUAUUGUUAAUGAAAGUUGGAAAUACAUAAUCUAGACACGUAAAUGUCGUAUUGAUCAUGUUGUGAAAUGAGCUGUCGCCUUGGUGGCACUUUUUGGCAUUCUCUAUUUCUCUUUCCACAUUUACCACAAUGUAUCCAAAUAGGCAAAUAUAUAAGCUUAGAGAGUUGGCUGCACGUUUUUGCUAAACUUGAUAAAUGAGUCAAUACAACCAAUAUAGCCACCAUCCAUAUCUACAAAUCUACACUUAUCAUCUAAACUUGAAGAAUAUUUGUUAUUUUAUCACUAACCACAAAAGACAAGACUCGUUACUUAAGUUAAAUGAUAGUGACAUGAUUAAGAGAAUAUUAGCUAUUAGGUCGGAAAUAAGAGAAAUAAGACUGGUAGUGGUAUGGUUAUGUAAAUUAUCAGUACAUGUAUAUAACACUUGUCCAAAUAAUGGCUUUCACAUUACAAGUCAUUCUUUCCCUGAGACUACUGCAAGAAACAAACACGGAAUUCUCGUGAUAAACGGAUUAGUACGAAGGAAAAAGUAAAAUGCAGUAACCAAUUUUUAUAUUUCAAAAAACAAGGCAUUUUGGAUGCAAUGAAAUAUUUAGAUAUAUAAAUUUGACUAGUGACAACAAUUUAAAGUUGUUAGAUUUCUC